GCAUUUCCGUCUUUCAAUAAUACGAACUGAUAUGUUUACACGCCAACUUCUUAUUCAAAGUGGGCGGGUUAUCAGUCAUUUGAGGCGUUUUAGUAGUCAAAUUUCAACAGCCAUGGUUGUCAAAGUGAACGUAAUUUAUUGUGGUGGAUGAGGGUACGGGUCCAGGUAUCGGCGACUGCAAGCCGAACUUGAGGACGAGUUUGGCUCCGACAUUGAGAUGACUGGUGAAUCAACUCCAGGAAUCACUGGAUAUCUGGAGGUUGAGGUCAAUGGAAGUCUUGUUCAUUCCAAAAAGAAUGGAGAUGGCUAUGUUGAUAGUAAACAGAAACUGGACAAGAUCAUGGAUGCCAUCAAGGCAGCUCUUUGAUUCUUGACAACAUUCAGCAACACAGCUAAACAGCUCCGCGUUGGACAUUGUGGCUAUCCUUAUUAUGACAGAAACACCCCAAAAGUAGUUCCGGCUAUUCGGGUAUUUCUCGAGACUCUACAGGGAGACACCAGGCUGUCCAAGAUGGAAGGAUUUGACUGUGUCAAUUAUUAUUUUCUUUGAUGUGGUAUUGUGCAGUGUAGACUAGAAUUGAUAUGGUGUAAUUGGUUAACAUGGUAAAAGGGAGUUAUUUUAAGGAAAAAAGGAAUCUUAUUCAACAUUGGGUUACUUGUAAAGAUAAAGGCCCCAUAAAAGAGGAUUGUUAAUUUUCCAUACCCUUUCAUGCAAGUCACUGAUUUUUUUUCUCUAUUUUCAUUAUUUACAACCACAGUAAGUUACUGCACAGGAUGGAAAUACUUAAAAGCAAAAAGCACAAGAACCUGACUUGGGUGUCAUUAAAGUACAGUUGUUUGAACUUGGUGACAUUCAUGAUACCAUAUUCAUUUAUGUUUCAUAUGCCUCAGACUCUUUUGAGAAAUAUAUAAUUGAUGUAGAAUGGUACCUGUCCCUUAACUUUAGGGGAAUAAAGAAAAUAUUUAAAAAAUGGUUUUAUGGGGUCUUCAUGUUAGUUAUGACUAUAUUCCUUACCAAGCAAUGAUGAUGUAUAAGAAUAAAACUAAAAAUAAUGUGAAAAUAGACUAUGCAUCAAGGCUGAAAAUAUUCACACAUUUUUUUUAUACAACUGUUUUUGGAAUGUGAUUUGAAUUUCAGAUUAAACGUUAUAAUUGUACCUCUCAAACCCUCCUUUGGUUAGCUAAUCUGAGGUGGGACUGGCCUGGCAUCAAGGGCUUGCUUUAUGAUUAUGUCAGAGGCAUUCAAUAUAAAUCCACAUAUUUCAUUAUUAUUAUUAUUACUUAUUAUUUGUACUGCACUUUUCCCAUUAGGCCCAAAGCUAUUCAUGCUAUUUUCAUAUUAUGUGUACAUUACAUGCAAUGCAUGAAUCAUUGUUUUUAUUGCAAAUGAAAUAUUUUUAAAACACAACAUUUAUAUGAACUUUAAUAGAUAAGUUGAUUAACAUUCACAGAACUCCUACCAGAUUCAUGUAUCCCAAUGAAUACCAACUGUAUUUAGCAUGGGCUGAAGCAACUCUUGAAGAUUUCAGUUCAAACACACCAAAGUACAGGGUUUAUUUUUAGCACAUUCAAAUACUUCAUAUUUCAAACCAAAGAUAUAUCCACUAUGAAAUCUGUCAAUUUAUCUUGAAAGGUAGCCUAAGCUUGUCAAAAUAUUCAAAUUAAUUUACAUGAGCAAUUAUCAUUUUAUAAUGUGUAUUAUAUUAGCAGAUUCAUUUCCAAUCUUGAUCUUGAUUCUUUUUCAGAACCAUAUAACAUGUCAUGGUGUUGGGAUUUGUGAGAUGAAGUGCCUAUUUUCACCUUUGUUUUGUUCUCUUGAAGCCGAUUAAAAUGCUUUUGUCUUUCUCAUCA